rnacentral:rRNA from 1 species
GUUCCUACGGGAGGCAGCAGUGGGGAAUAUUGCACAAUGGGGGAAACCCUGAUGCAGCGACGCCGCGUGAAGGACGAAGUAUUUCGGUACGUAAACUUCUAUCAGCAGGGAAGAAAAUGACGGUACCUGACCAAGAAGCCCCGGCUAACUACGUGCCAGCAGCCGCGGUAAUACGUAGGGGGCAAGCGUUAUCCGGAUUUACUGGGUGUAAAGGGAGCGUAGACGGCCGUGCAGGUCUGAUGUGAAAACCCGGGGCUCAACCCCGGGACUGCAUUGGAAACUGUUAAGCUGGAGUACUGGAGAGG